AGUACCACGGUAUUGUGGUACCACGGUAUUGUGGUACCACGGUACUGUGGUACUACGGUACUGUGGUACUACGGUACUGUG